CCAUAAUUGAGAAACCAUCACCCAACUUUUUGAUUAAUGAUAAUCUCAACCAUUAGCUGUUAAAUGGAAUCAUAAUUCUUCAAAUGGUAAAGCUGUCCACUAUAUUCAAGUAAUAAUUUGGGGAAUAAAGUCGCUAUCUAUUUCCCAAUAAAUGAAUAAAUAGAAGUAAUAUUCAAAUAGAUAAUUAAAAAUGGAUAGGUAAACCUCCCAAAGUUUUUUGUCGGACCUUUUAGAGAGACAAUAACAUAUUAAACUCACACAGACUACACAGAUGUUUAGACUCGAACUUAGUAAGUUUCUGAGGGAGCAAUUACUUCAAACCAUUACACUAGCGGAUUCUUUCUCUGCCUCCAAAGUACUUGUUUAACCAAGUUUGCAGAGUAAAUCCCAGCGACGAGGCGAACUUUUUCGAAACUGCCAAGUUUGGAGCGGAUGUAGGAAACUCAAAAGACGAACCAGAACUCGAAGAGGGAGAAAUCUCCGCAGAGCUAACAGGGGAAGAUGAGGGAGGAGAAGGCGGAGAGUCAGCUUCGGGCGUAGUAGGAGCAGCCUUUGGUGGAGCACUCGAUGGAGAAGGGGAAGGUGAAGCCUUAGAUGGAGAGCUAGAUUGAGAAGGCGCAUGUGACUUAGCAGGUGAUGAUGCAUGGGAUUUUUCCGUUGUUGAGGCCAGCAAAAGUAAAGCCAUUAGCACCAAAACAACAUUACUGAAUUGACCCAUUGGAGAGAGAGAGAGAGAGAGAGAGAGAGAGAGAGAGAGAGAGAGAGAGAGAGAGAGACUUAUGGGGCUUUAGGGGGUUUUAAGAGGCAAAUGAAGA
rnacentral:lncRNA from 1 species